rnacentral:rRNA from 1 species
UACAGAGGUGGCAAGCGUUGUUCGGAAUUACUGGGCGUAAAGCGCACGCAGGCGGGUCGUCAAGUCAGGGGUGAAAUCCCGAGGCUCAACCUCGGAACUGCCUUUGAUACUGGCGACCUUUGAGUCCGGGAGAGGUGAGUGGAACUCCGAGUGUAGAGGUGAAAUUCGUAGAUAUUCGGAAGAACACCAGUGGCGAAGGCGGCUCACUGGCCCGGUACUGACGCUCAUGUGCGAAAGCGUGGGGAGCAAACAGG